UACUAUGCCUUUUCUUUUCAUGUAGAGCUUAUUUGAACUCAGAAUAUUCUCUUGCUCUUUUCAAAAAUUUCAAAAUCUCUUUCGAGCCCUAUCUCAACAAAAAUUGGCAUAUACUCAAAUUAGUGGACUAAGCAAAUUCAACUUUAUUUCUAAAUUUGGAUGGCACCUCCCCAUGAUCAGCAAAUACACCUCUUUGGACCAUUUGACAACUAGCUCAUCUUAGAUAUUAAUCCCCGCUUCCCCUUUCUCUUGGACCAAUCUCUUCAAAGCAUUUUCCUAACUUAAACCUAGACCUUGCAUUCAUUACAGCCAUCAACUAAGUACUCUGCGUGUUCUUUUUGGGAAAUGCUCAUGCCCAUCUAGACAUGCUACUAGUGGUGAGCCGGCCAUGCAAGUCAUCCAUGCACCAUCUCUUUUCACAACUCUUCCAUUCUAUUUCUUUUUGAACCCACACCGAAACCACCCCAUUAAGAUUCUGGUCGACCUGUUUGCCUCAACACCACCUCUUGUCCUCUUGUGCUUGGCAAGAGGGGAGAGCCGGUGAUGCCAAAUCUUGGCAAGACCAUGCCAAGCCUCUCGCCCUCUCUGUAAUAUUUCUCCGCUAGUGAGCUGCAGCGAACCCUGCUACCCUCCUGCACCCCUACUACCCUGCUUACACCCCUAGCCAUUUGCUACAGUACCACCUCCCCUUUGGCUGUUUGUGUUUGGAGAAAAGUAGGCCGCCCUAGCCGCACUCGUGGUCACCGGUUUUCGGCCAGGGGGUCAACAAGCACCACAACUCCCUUGGCUGCGCCAUACACUUGUCCCUCCUCUGCUCUUUGCACUUCGCAUACUCCCAAGGCAACGCCUCUCCUCUCUGUGUCACGGACGAGCUCGACAAGUAGGUGGUCACCACCCCUGGGAACGUCGAUCGCGUUCCAGUAACCCUGCCCUCUCCGGUCACUCCAUCUGCACAAGGCUGCGCCAUGGAGAUGUCCCAUCCUUUCUCUCUGUACCCUGCAUACUCCCGAGGCCAUCCCAGACCCGUAGCUCACUCGCCCGUGCUCGCCGGCCCGGUGGUCACCACGUUGCAGACGCGCAUGCGUUCCCAACCUUUCUCCUCUCUCCCUUCUUUUCCAUCGACACAGGGCUAAACAACGCCCAAUCUGGACCCUAAGUGAUACCCUAGCCUCUCCACUAGAUCACCUCCCCUCGUUUAGUUUGUAUCAAACAUGUACGCCCUGGGCAGAACAACACCUCGUCCCGAGCGUCUCAGCACUAACCUCUCCAUUCAUUCUCUUGGAAGACAUUCAACCCACCACUUCGCAUGUGACAGCACCGCCUCCUUGCCCAAUCGUUUCCGCGCACCUCAACAUCAUGAGCUCGUGCUUGAUCACGGUCCGCACAGUCGCCCUGUCCUUCUUUUUAUUCGACCCCGUCGCCUCUCAGACCCUCUACUCUCCAUACUACUCCUCCCUCUUCCCUCUAUCCCACCAUAACACCACCAGGGAGAAGCCCUGCGCAUUCCCUCCUCGCUGCCGGAGAAAACCGAGCGGAAGCUCGUCGGCCCAUCGCGCGCCAUGCCGUGGCCGUGGCUGCCGUCUUUCUCAGCCCCCUUUCUUUCCGUUCUCUGAUGCUGAUCUCUCUGUAACCUGCAUAACUCCACUCUUCUCGUUUGCCAGAAAUUUGUGAGGACGUCGUCGCCGGCGAGCUAUGUCCGCUGCGCGUCGGUCGUCGUCAUCGUCAACCCCGGCCGCGCCUUCGGUCGCGAGCCCGCGUAGCCGGGAUGGCCUGGGCGUUCUGCGCCGCCCCUUCACUGCAUCCUCUCCCACGCCCCCGGGCCGCCCGUCUUCUCCAUCGUCGACACGGACCUCACCUCCGGCCGCGCCAAGUACUGGAAACCCACCUGUGCGCUCGAGGAGGCCGAGCCGAACCUCUCCGUCCAUCCUGCGUUGACUACCCGCCUUCUCCAAGUCGCCAUCGGUGAGCUCCCCCUUGCUCUGCUCCGUCGGCCACACGCGGCGGCGCUUCCAGUUCAUCGUCGACGCGAACGAGCGCGUCGAGCGCCGUCGCAGCGUGCAUGCAGGCCCGCCCCAUGCAUGACCAGCAACCGACCAGACCGCCCUGCCCACGUGCGACACCUUCCGAGCCGCCUCCAGCCUCGCCAUCACUCCACGACGCCCGCGAAUGCGAUCACUAUCGGAGAAGAAUGAGAGGAUCACGGUGAGGAUCUCGAAGAGGAAGGAAAAGCAGAGGUUCGUGAAGAACAAGUCCAGGGACAAAUAGCCAACCAAGGCAAGCCACCUCUUGAUGCAUCUCUGAUCCUAUAUAUAUUCUUGCUCUUGCAUUAUGACAGGUUUUAUAAAGUGCAUGUCUUUUAUUUA